AUGAUUUUAUUUGCCAAAACCCCAAAUUUUAUCCAUUUUCAUUUUUUGAAGUUGUUUUCUAUGAACUUGAAAAUAUGUUUAAAGUGUAUUUUUUUAAAUUUAAAUGGUAUUAUAAUCGUGUUAAUAAUUAUUUUAAUUUAUUUUUAUUUUUUAAUUUAAUUAUUAAUUUUAUUUUAUAAAAACAUUUGGACCCCCCUGAAUCGGAAGUCUGGCUCCGCCCCUG
rnacentral:lncRNA from 1 species